rnacentral:rRNA from 1 species
GCUGAACUUAAGCAUAUCAAUAAG